GACGAACGCUGGCGGCGUGCUUAACACAUGCAAGUCGAACGGAAAGGCCCUGCUUUUGUUGGGUGCUCGAGUGGCGAACGGGUGAGUAACACGUGAGUAACCUGCCCUUGACUUUGUGAUAACUUCAGGAAACUGGGGCUAAUACCGGAUAUGAGCUCCUGCUGCAUGUUGGUCGUUGGAAAGUUUCGGCGGUUGGGGAUGGACUCGCGGCUUAUCAGCUUGUUUGUGUGGUAGUGGCUUACCAAGGCUUUGACGGGUAGCCGGCCUGAGAGGGUGACCGGCCACAUUGGGACUGAGAUACGGCCCAGACUCCUACGGGAGGCAGAAGUGGGGAAUAUUGCACAAUGGGCGGAAGCCUGAUGCAGCAACGCCGCGUGCGGGAUGACGGCCUUCGGGUUGUAAACAGAUUUCGACUGUGACGAAGAGUGAGUGACGGUAAUGGGUAAAGAAGCAACGGCUAACUACGUG
rnacentral:rRNA from 1 species